UUCUUAGUUUCUCCAUGAUGGCGACCACGGAGCUGGAGCGAGCAGGGGGUUUGGGUUGCCGCUGGUAAUGGAAGAGCCAAGCUUCGCACCUGCUCUGCCUGCCCAGAGCUCCACUCAAGGUUGCACAUUUUCA